UACCUACGGGAGGCAGCAGUGGGGAAUAUUGCACAAUGGGGGAAACCCUGAUGCAGCAACGCCGCGUGAAGGAAGACGGUUUUCGGAUUGUAAACUUCUUUUCUUAGUGAAGAAGCAAGUGACGGUAGCUAAGGAAUAAGCAUCGGCUAACUACGUGCCAGCAGCCGCGGUAAUACGUAGGGGGCAAGCGUUAUCCGGAUUCAUUGGGCGUAAAGCGCGCGCAGGCGGGCCGCUAAGCGGGACCUCUAAUCUUGGGGCUCAACCUC
rnacentral:rRNA from 1 species